UACGUAGGGUGCGAGCGUUGUCCGGAAUUAUUGGGCGUAAAGAGCUCGUAGGCGGCUUGUCGCGUCGGAUGUGAAAGCCCGGGGCUUAACUCCGGGUCUGCAUUCGAUACGGGCAGGCUAGAGUUCGGUAGGGGAGAUCGGAAUUCCUGGUGUAGCGGUGAAAUGCGCAGAUAUCAGGAGGAACACCGGUGGCGAAGGCGGAUCUCUGGACAUUUCCUGACGCUGAGGCACGAAAGCCAGGGGAGCAAACGGG
rnacentral:rRNA from 1 species